rnacentral:rRNA from 1 species
UGGGGAAUAUUGCGCAAUGGGGGAAACCCUGACGCAGCGACGCCGCGUGCGGGAUGAAGGCCUUCGGGUUGUAAACCGCUUUUGAUUGGGAGCAAGCCCUUUGGGUGAGUGUACCUUUCGAAUAAGCGCCGGCUAACUACGUGCCAGCAGCCGCGGUAAUACGUAGGGCGCAAGCGUUAUCCGGAGUUAUUGGGCGUAAAGAGCUUGUAGGCGGUUCGUCGCGUCUGGUGUGAAAGCCCAUCGCUUAACGGUGGGUUUGCGCCGGGUACGGGCGGGCUAGAGUGCAGUAGGGGAGACUGGAAUUCCCGGUGUAACGGUGAAAUGUGUAGAUAUCGGGAAGAACACCAAUGGCGAAGGCAGGUCUCUGGGCUGUUACUGACGCUGAGAAGCGAAAGCGUGGGGAGCGAACAGG